CACGUAGGCACCAAGCGUUGUCCGGAUUUAUUGGGCGUAAAGAGCUCGUAGGCGGUUCAGUAAGUCGGGUGUGAAAACUCUGGGCUCAACCAGAGACGCCACCCGAUACUGCUGUGACUUGAGUACGGUAGGGGAGUGGGGAAUUCCUGGUGUAGCGGUGAAAUGCGCAGAUAUCAGGAGGAACACCAGUGGCGAAGGCGGGUCUCUGGGCAACAACUGACGCUGAGGAGCGAAAGCGUGGGGAGCGAACAGG
rnacentral:rRNA from 1 species